rnacentral:rRNA from 1 species
GACGAACGCUGGCGGCGUGCUUAACACAUGUAAGUCGAACGGAAAGGCCCUGCUUUUGUGGGGUGCUCGAGUGGCGAACGGGUGAGUAACACGUGAGUAACCUGCCCUUGACUUUGAGAUAACUUCAGGAAACUGGGGCUAAUACCGGAUAGGAGCUCCUGCUGCAUGGUGGGGGUUGGAAAGUUUCGGCGGUUGGGGAUGGACUCGCGGCUUAUCAGCUUGUUGGUGGGGUAGUGGCUUACCAAGGCUUUGACGGGUAGCCGGCCUGAGAGGGUGACCGGCCACAUUGGGACUGAGAUACGGCCCAGACUCCUACGGGAGGCAGCAGUGGGGAAUAUUGCACAAUGGGCGGAAGCCUGAUGCAGCAACGCCGCGUGCGGGAUGACGGCCUUCGGGUUGUAAACCGCUUUCGCCUGUGACGAAGCGUGAGUGACGGUAAUGGGUAAAGAAGCACCGGCUAACUACGUG